rnacentral:rRNA from 1 species
UUGGAGGGCAAGUCUGGUGCCAGCAGCCGCGGUAAUUCCAGCUCCAAUAGCGUAUAUUAAAGUUGUUGCAGUUAAAAAGCUCGUAGUUGAAUUUCGGGAUCAGAUUGUCGGUCGUGCCUCGGUACGCACUGGUAUUAUUGGUUCCUACCUUCUGAAGAACCGCGAUGUCAUUAAUUUGGUGUCGUGGGGAAUCAGGACUGUUACUUUGAAAAAAUUAGAGUGUUUAAAGCAGGCUUACGCUUGAAUACAUUAGCAUGGAAUAAUGAAAUAGGACGUUUGAUCCUAUUUUGUUGGUUUCUAGGAUUGACGUAAUGAUUAAUAGGGAUAGUUGGGGGCAUUAGUAUUCAAUUGUCAGAGGUGAGAUUCUUGGAUUUAUUGAAGACUAACUACUGCGAAAGCAUUUGCCAAGGAUGUUUUCAUUAAUCAAGAACGAAAGUUAGGGGAUCGAAGACGAUCAGAUACCGUCGUAGUCUUAACCAUAAACUAUGCCGACUAGGGAUCGGAUGAUGUUAAUUUUUUAAUGACUCAUUCGGCGCCUUACGGGAAACCAAAGUGUUUGGGUUC